rnacentral:rRNA from 1 species
CGCAGUGCGGGUGCUAUACAUGCAGUCGAACGCACAGCGAAAGGUGCUUGCACCUUUCAAGUGAGUGGCGAACGGGUGAGUAACACGUGGACAACCUGCCUCAAGGCUGGGGAUAACAUUUGGAAACAGAUGCUAAUACCGAAUGAAACUUAGUGUCGCAUGACACGAAGUUAAAAGGCGCUUUGGCGUCACCUAGAGAUGGAUCCGCGGUGCAUUAGUUAGUUGGUGGGGUAAAGGCCUACCAAGACAAUGAUGCAUAGCCGAGUUGAGAGACUGAUCGGCCACAUUGGGACUGAGACACGGCCCAAACUCCUACGGGAGGCUGCAGUAGGGAAUCUUCCACAAUGGGCGAAAGCCUGAUGGAGCAACGCCGCGUGUGUGAUGAAGGCUUUCGGGUCGUAAAGCACUGUUGUAUGGGAAGAACAGCUAGAAUAGGGAAUGAUUUUAGUUUGACGGUACCAUACCAGAAAGGGACGGCUAAAUACGUGCCAGCAGCCGCGGUAAUACGUAUGUCCCGAGCGUUAUCCGGAUUUAUUGGGCGUAAAGCGAGCGCAGACGGUUGAUUAAGUCUGAUGUGAAAGCCCGGAGCUCAACUCCGGAAUGGCAUUGGAAACUGGUUAACUUGAGUGCAGUAGAGGUAAGUGGAACUCCAUGUGUAGCGGUGGAAUGCGUAGAUAUAUGGAAGAACACCAGUGGCGAAGGCGGCUUACUGGACUGUAACUGACGUUGAGGCUCGAAAGUGUGGGUAGCAAACAGGAUUAGAUACCCUGGUAGUCCACACCGUAAACGAUGAACACUAGGUGUUAGGAGGUUUCCGCCUCUUAGUGCCGAAGCUAACGCAUUAAGUGUUCCGCCUGGGGAGUACGACCGCAAGGUUGAAACUCAAAGGAAUUGACGGGGACCCGCACAAGCGGUGGAGCAUGUGGUUUAAUUCGAAGCAACGCGAAGACCCUUACCAGGUCUUGACAUCCUUUGAAGCUUUUAGAGAUAGAAGUGUUCUCUUCGGAGACAAAGUGCCAGGUGGUGCAUGGUCGUCGUCAGCUCGUGUCGUGAGAUGUUGGGUUAAGUCCCGCAACGAGCGCAACCCUUAUUGUUAGUUGCCAGCAUUCAGAUGGGCACUCUAGCGAGACUGCCGGUGACAAACCGGAGGAAGGCGGGGACGACGUCAGAUCAUCAUGCCCCUUAUGCCCUGGGCUACACACGUGCUCCAAUGGCGUAUACAACGAGUUGCCAACCCGCGAGGGUGAGCUAAUCUCUUAAAGUACGUCUCAGUUCGGAUUGUAGUCUGCAACUCGACUCCAUGAAGUCGGAAUCGCUAGUAAUCGCGGAUCAGCACGCCGCGGUGAAUACGUUCCCGGGUCUUGUCCCCCCCGCCCGUCCCCCCAUGGGAGUUUGUAAUGCCCAAAGCCGGUGCCCUACACCUUUGGAAGGAGCCGUCUAAGCAGACAAUGGCCC